CGCUAGCGACAGGCUUAACACAUGCAAGUCGAGGGGUAACAGGGUAGCAAUACCGCUGACGACCGGCGCACGGGUGAGUAACGCGUAUGCAACCUGCCUAUAACUGUGGAAUAGCUCCCUGAAAGGGGAAUUAACACCGCAUAACACUAUUGAUUCGCAUGGAUUGGUAGUUAAAUGUAGCGAUACAGGUUAUAGAUGGGCAUGCGUGACAUUAGCUAGUUGGUGAGGUAACGGCUCACCAAGGCUACGAUGUCUAGGGGUUCUGAGAGGAAGGUCCCCCACACUGGUACUGAGACACGGACCAGACUCCUACGGGAGGCAGCAGUGAGGAAUAUUGGUCAAUGGGCGCAAGCCUGAACCAGCCAUGUCGCGUGCAGGAAGACUGCCCUAUGGGUUGUAAACUGCUUUUAUAGUAGAAGAAACACAUCUACGUGUAGAUGUCUGCCAGUAUACUAUGAAUAAGCAUCGGCUAACUCCGUGCCAGCCGCAGC
rnacentral:rRNA from 1 species